GAGUUUGAUCAUGGCUCAGGAUGAAUGCUGGCGGCAUGCCUAAUACAUGCAAGUCGAGCGGUAACAGGACUAGCUUGCUAGUUGCUGACGAGCGGCGGACGGCUGAGUAACGCAUGGGAACGCACCCCAAACUGAGGGAUAACUAGUCGAAAGAUUAGCUAAUACCGCAUGUGAUCUUCGGAUUAAAGCCUUCGGGCGGUUUGGGAGCGGCCUGUGUACGAUUAGAUAGUUGGUGAGGUAAUGGCUCACCAAGUCGACGAUCGUUAGAUGGUUUGAGAGGAUGAUCAUCCAGACUGGAACUGAGACACGGUCCAGACUCCUACGGGAGGCAGCAGUAGGGAAUCUUUCACAAUGGGCGAAAGCCUGAUGGAGCCAAUGCCGCGUGCAGGACGAAGGCCUUCGGGUUGUAAACUGCUUUUAUAAGCGAGGAAUAUGACGGUAACUUAUGAAUAAGGAUCGGCUAACUACGUGCCAGCAGCAGC
rnacentral:rRNA from 1 species